GAUGAACGCUGGCGGCGUGCCUAAUACAUGCAAGUCGAGCGAACAGACGAGGAGCUUGCUCCUCUGACGUUAGCGGCGGACGGGUGAGUAACACGUGGAUAACCUACCUAUAAGACUGGGAUAACUUCGGGAAACCGGAGCUAAUACCGGAUAAUAUAUUGAACCGCAUGGUUCAAUAUUGAAAGACGGUUUUGCUGUCACUUAUAGAUGGAUCCGCGCCGCAUUAGCUAGUUGGUAAGGUAACGGCUUACCAAGGCAACGAUGCGUAGCCGACCUGAGAGGGUGAUCGGCCACACUGGAACUGAGACACGGUCCAGACUCAUACGGGAGGCAGCAGUAGGGAAUCUUAAGCAAUGGGAGAAAGCCUGACGGAGCAACGCCGCGGGAGUGAUGAAGGUCUUCGGAUCGUAAAACUCUGUUAUUAGGGAAGAACAAAUGUGUAAGUAACUAUGCACGUCUUGACGGUACCUAAUCAGAAAGCCACGGCUAACUACGUG
rnacentral:rRNA from 1 species